GCCCUCAUGGUGAAAUGGUUAAGACACGUCUGAUUUAGGCUCAGAAGGCUGUAGGUUCGACUCCUACUGAGGGUA
rnacentral:tRNA from 2 species